ACAAAGCAUGUGAAUAUUUUUUUUUUGGCAAGGCGUCGUUUGGAAAGUGCACUUCCUUGUUCUGACCUUGCCUUUUAUGGGCUGGAGCGAUAUGCCACGGCGAAGUUGUCGAAGAUGCGACGGUGCUACGUGCUACGCUGUUAGAACAAUUCAUCGGAGCAUUCAAGUGUUACCUUUUAUAAGCUGCUAAAAGACCAAGCAGUGCGAAGCUCUUGGCUGACAGUGGUGCCUGCUAAUUUCCACUGCAAGGAUUUCGUCAACGAAUGUUAUCAUAGGUUAUACGCGCGACUCCAGAGGCAAUUUGGAAUAUCGGCACGAAAUCGUCGGAUGAAAAUCUGAGGUGCCCGACGCACAACAUUUUGAACGUGCCACGGAGGAUCAAGGCAAAAAACGAGAGCAAAAAAGGUGCACGCUGAAGGCGGAAAUGAAGCAUGAUCUGGCUUGCAUCUGGUGCAUGAAGAAAUUGCUGGCACGUUAGUUGCAGUCUACCUCCACCAACAGGGUGGAAAACAAAGGUCGCCAUUCCGAUUAGCUGCUAUCUCCCAGUUCAAGCACUUUUGCUGUCUGGACACUGGUUCCUGUGGAUGGGCUGUUACAAGCUUCACUGUCUGAUAUAGAAGUGAUGAGCAUCCAUAAGGACACAUGGCAGAAAGGGAGUCUCUUUGAGAUGACAAACCCUCAUCACCUCAUGAGGAUACAAUGGUUGACGAAUGGUUCUCAAGUACAUCGAAACUUCAACAAAUAAUUCAUGAAAAAGCCAGUCAGUGCUAGCACCAGGAAUUGAACGUGGACCGUCCUGCUACCAGUCAGAGAUGUUACAUUUCAGGUGCUCAUUGACUUUUGGUGAAUUACUUGUUGACUUUGUCCCAAGGUGGAGCUCGCCACAGCUCAUUUGUCUAUCUGUUAAUGUUGUGGCGUGUGUUGCGUUUUUCUCUUUGUGUGUUCCAGACUCAGAACGGUAAAUUUGGAUCAGGUCAGGUACGUUUCAUUUAGACAUGGCAAACAUAAAGUGGUGUUUCUCAACACAACUUAGCAGUGGCCUUCAUGCAUUACUGCCACGGCCAUUAAGCGUGAAUGGAAGGCUGCACAUUAUGCAUGAUGUAAAACCCCAAGACUAGGAACAUGAAGGGACAAACACAAACACGUCCCUUUUUGUUCCCUAGUCACGGGGUUUUACAUAUGCAUCAUCUUCACCAGCUCACUUGCUUCCUAGCCAUUUUUUCUGCCACAUUAUGUUCACUCUACUUCUAUCGUGUGCUAUGUAAUCUUGUUCAAGUUCUGUCAAACGACGUGUAAUGCUAUAAAAACAUUCAGUACACUGUUUAUGCGGGUUGAAUGGUA